rnacentral:rRNA from 1 species
AUGAGUCCUUCCGGCUGGGACAUCCGGGGAGGGCGGCAACAGUCGCGAGAGACGGUCAUGUGGUUGUGGUGGUGGCGGGAGACGGUCUUGCGGCGGAGACAGCGACCUGCUCGUGCACUAGCGAGCCCGGUGUCCACUCUGUCGACAUAUCAGACAUUUGUAGGGAUCACAACAGUCAACUUUGCAGUGUCCCCGCUCCAGGCAGCGAUGGCAGGUCCUACGGUGGUGCCAGACGAAACUUCUGCCCGGUGGAGUGGAAAACGAAGGCGAGGACCGUCGUUGUGGAAGGCGCCGGCUGGGAGACAGAGCUCUCCACCAGUACGGAGCUUGAACUAG